rnacentral:lncRNA from 1 species
UCUUCUCCCAGAAGACACAUUCAUUAUUGAAAGAUGAAUUCCAGAAGAUGUGCCGCUGUGAACCUAUGGCCAUUUACUUUCCUCUUCAUCACAUAAUAAUACAAUCCACUAAUUAUUUUUACAAACCUGGAAUUUUCAUCAUUUUUUAAAAGGAUCAUUUCUUAUCUUGGCAAAUGUGCUUCCAGUUCUUCCAGUCUUUUAUGCCCAUGGUGAAGGGUAACAUUUUACUCUCUUAAGGAUCAGUGGCCUUCACAGAACAUCCUAUGUUUUGCAAAAAUUUUGAAAAGAGUUCAUUUUUUUUCAUGACAUCUGUUUUUGAGAUAUAAUUUCUGUUCCUUUUCAUGCUGAGAGGUUUUUUUUUUUUUUGAGACUGUCAUAUUCUAAAUACUCAUUUAUCAAAAGUUGUUCCUUUAAGUAGUUACCAUUUUGCAUAAUGUGGAACUUUUGAGUGAGGUUUCCUAGAAUUUCCUGUUAUUGAUGUUUUUCUUGAAUAUACUGAAAAAUCUCUAUCGUCAACACUGUAACUGUCAUCAACAGAAGUAAACAGAAGAUCCCAAGAGUCCCUGUAAUGAGAUGCCAGGGCUCUGAAAACUCUGCCAUCGGCUUUUCCAGGCCUUUGGGUAGCAUCAUGCCUUUUAAUCCAUUCUGCAAUUCUGAAGGAAACUGAAGAAAUUCCAGGGUUGAAAUAAGUCACCUCCGGAUGGCUCAUCUGUAUCUGUAUCAUGCACUGAAGUAGACAGAAGGAACUUAUCCCCAAAUGAGUGACAAGUUGGCUUCUCCAGUCCUGGCCCCCUUAGGUUUCAGAGGUUCCGUCUACGGUCAGCUGACUCCUUGGCUCUGGGCCCAAGAUGAGGCUGAACAUCAAGGCAAGAGGGCGUGACAAAGAAGAGCUGUUGGGCUCACGGCCUUGUUAGAGGGCAGAUAGACGAGGGCGGUGGGAACAGGAGGUUAAGAGAAUAAUCCUAUAAAGUGCCCCACUGUGCUGACCCCCACAUGCUUUCUUUGCCAAGAACCAAUCUGCCUGCAGCCCUACCUGGCCCUAGUGGGCAGGAUAUGUCACAUUCCUCAGCCAAUGACCUGUUAUCUCAAGGAAAUGUAGACAGGAAGUAACGUUGAGAAGAGAAACCCAGGUUACUUUGAAGGGAGAGACUUUUCACAGAUCAGAUUCUGGAAGAUAAAAGUAGCCCCUCCUACUUUAUGUAAAAAUAUGCAAGAAUGUAUUAGAAUCCAGUUAGAACUGGUCAGCAUAGGCCAAGGUGACCUAAAAUUGCCAUGGCAGGGGGGAAUUGAAAGACUGAUGUCACCCUGCUGUCAGUCAAAAGCCAAAAGAUGGACCUGCAUGGAACUCUCUGGAAACUUCUCUGGGAUCCCCAAUAAAAGUGGAGUGGAGGAGAGGCAUGUUGUCUGAGAGGAUCCACUCUCUCCCUUUAGAGUGUCCCCUUCCCUUUUUCCCAUCCCUUCAAUGAACUUAUCCCUGCUACUCUGAGCAACCAUCUGAAAUCCUUCUGACUUGGUCAUGGGAAUUGGGGUUUGAAUGGAAGUCCUCACAUUGCCUCAGUUUCUCAGAAAGCCCCCGCCUUUUGACAGUGGCUAGGAAGCAGAGACUUCCUGACUUUCAUUACAGUUUUAAUGUAUGCGCACGUAUCUCUAGUAGCACAGUGCUUACUUUGGUAGGGUUUCCAACUUUCUAUAAUUGUAGAAACUAAAUAGACUUCUAUUACUUGCAUUUUUCAUUCAACAUUGUAUUUUUGAGAGACUUCUGUAUUUUAGUUAUUCAGUUCUACUGCUAAGUUAC